GACAAGAUCUGGCCCAAACUGCGUGUACUUGCGAGAUCUUCUCCAACUGAUAAGCAUACGUUGGUCAAAGGUAUAAUUGAUAGCACCAUCAUAGAACAGAGACAAGUAGUUGCUGUCACUGGAGACGGAACCAAUGAUGGCCCUGCGCUAAAAAAAGCUGACGUUGGAUUUGCAAUGGAAUACGACUAUCACCUAUCACGGCAUAUCACCUAUCACCUAUCACGGCAUUCCUAUGUAAGCUCUAUUCAGUAUUAUUCAGCUGCUUUUUUGCUUGCUCAGGAGCAAAUUACCCUCCUCCA